CGGCAGUACCACAACAAAGCGCGCAUCACCUUUGACAUCUGUCAGCCAAAGACAAACCAACAUCUCCGGAGAUGUGUCCGGCGGAGGACAGAGGAAGAGCAUGCAUCGGACGACAACUACGUCGUCUGGCCUCAUCUCCACCAGCCCAUUGUCACUCCAAACACUUGAAUGGCAAUUCUGAGUUUGACGUCGUUAAAACUGAAUGAAACCGAGAAGGGAAGGAAUUGGGUUUUCCCCCCUUGCUGUCCUCAAACAACUUUAUCUUCACUGACUCAUGGACCUGAAUCCACCUCCACCAUAUCACCUUUUCAUGCGGUUGACACUGUUGUUCUUGUAAUACACUGCUCUGUUCUCCUAAAAUGGAAGGAAAUGUAUGUAGGUCAAACCAUUAUGGUCAUCCAGGAUACAAUCUGUGAAAGUGAAAGUCCCCGACAUUUCAGUGAUCUCAAUAGAGAGCUGGAUUAGCCGGAAUAUACAUACAUACAAACAUAUGCACAGAUAGAUAGAAAGAGAUAGAUAGAUAGAUUGCGAAGGUUAGUGAUAGGCCAUUGAAUGGGCUGAAACCUCUGUGAGGGCCCACAGGGUCAGAUCAAUUGGUAGCUCCCUAUCCAGAGCUGAGUUCAGGACAGGAAAUAUGAAAUAUGUUGCAAUGUGUAUGCUUCUCCAUCAUGACACCCUAAAUAUACAACAGCGACUUUCCCUGAGUGGAUUUUAUUUCUGAAAAGAAAGAUCUCUUCAUUUGUAACAUUCCAUACUUACUUUCUGAACUAAAAGGGACAAAAUAAGUAAGGUUUACAGUUUCAAGCUACCACAUAUUCACUGCGUACAGAUAUUUUUCUUUUGCAUCUUUAUUUGAGGUGAGCUGAUAAUCCACCAGGCGUUAUGCAGUCUAUGCUGUCAUCUUGUGAUGAGGAAGCUGAGCAUUGGGCCAAUCGGCAAAAACCAC